rnacentral:rRNA from 1 species
AGUCUGACGGAGCAACGCCGCGUGAGUGAUGAAGGUUUUCGGAUCGUAAAACUCUGUUGUUAGGGAAGAACAAGUACGAUAGUAACUGAUCGUACCUUGACGGUACCUAACCAGAAAGCCACGGCUAACUACGUGCCAGCAGCCGCGGUAAUACGUAGGUGGCAAGCGUUGUCCGGAAUUAUUGGGCGUAAAGCGCUCGCAGGCGGUCCUUUAAGUCUGAUGUGAAAUCUCGCGGCUCAACCGCGAACGGUCAUUGGAAACUGGAGGACUUGAGUACAGAAGAGGAGAGUGGAAUUCCACGUGUAGCGGUGAAAUGCGUAGAGAUGUGGAGGAACACCAGUGGCGAAGGCGACUCUCUGGUCUGUAACUGACGCUGAGGAGCGAAAGCGUGGGGAGCGAACAGGAUUAGAUACCCUGGUAGUCCACGCCGUAAACGAUGAGUGCUAGGUGUUAGGGGGUUUCCGCCCCUUAGUGCUGAAGUUAACGCAUUAAGCACUCCGCCUGG